GGAGAGUAUGUUACCUAGCAACAGGUUGCUGUGGAGACCAGUUGACUGAGUCUGAGACCACAGAUGAGGAAGAGAGAAGUCACAGAUUUGGGGGAAUCUCUUAUUUCUUCACUUUUUUUUUUUUAAACUCCAACAUGUUUGCAGGAAUAACUAACAAGCCACGCCCCCAUCUCUCUACCACCAUGACUCUGGCUUUAGCUGAACCAAACCGAUGACGUGCUGUGACAAAGUGUGGUCCUCAGACUUCACAGCUCAACAGCAACUCUGAGAGCAGGAAGAAGCUCCUGAUGCAACCCUGACACAUUCUAACCGAUCCUUUGGGAUAGCAGCAAAAUGCCUACUAAUGAGGGACAACAAGUCAACAAACUGGGUCACAGAGAGAUGGAAGUACCGCUGAAAGCAGCCAUCAUUCAGACGCAACUCCUCCCACCCAUGGGGGACUCACUCAUGACUUUACAAGCUUUUGUAGAGAUCUUAUAAUAAAUAAACCUGAUCUUCCAGCAUCAAAUGAUGCUGAAAACUUCA